ACCACACUGUGUGCUUCUACACACCCAGGCUGAACACCCCAUGGGAGGCCCUCCACUUUAGCACCUUGACAAGAAGGGUGGGGACACUGGGAUCAGGCCCAGCCCCCUGGCCCCAAACCCUGCAGCCCCAGCUGGAGGAUGAGGAGAUGCUGGGCUUGGGUGGGGGAAUCAGGGGUGUAAAGGGGCCUGCUCACUCCUCAGCUUGGCUCAAGGCUCAAGGCAUCAAAGGCUCAGCCUGCCCCUCAGGAAGGAGCCUGGGCCCAGCCAGACACUCACCAGGACAAGGGUGAAUGUGACGAGCAGGAGGCCUAGAAUGAGGAGAGCCACAGCAUAGCCGGGGAUGGAGGCAUCCAGCAGGCUGGAGGCUUCAAGGCUAGCAGUGCCUAGAGCAGACCAAGAAGGCUAUGGCCAGGUGGGGCCCUGCCUCCCAGACUUCUGAGAAGGCAGAAUCUGGCACCAGAAGUUGCUGCGGGACCAGAGAGCUGGGGCUAGGAGCAUCUUGGAGGGCUCCAUGAGGAGGGGAGGCAGGUUUCAGAUCAGGGCAUGUAGAGGCAGCAAGCCCAAGGGAGGAGGCAGAUGGACAGAGGGAGGGGGCCUGCAGAGGGAAGGAGGUACUGACCGAGGUCUGAGAUGACCGUGUCUACCAAGAGGCCCUCUGCCUCCCCCAGGGUGUGCAGACCCACACGAGAGCCUGGGCUGAUGCCGCCCUGAAGAAGGUGGCACCCACUCUGACGGUCAGUGGGUCCAGCCUGGUGGGAGGAUCAUCCCACUUCAGGGGGCUGGGCAGCCUGGGGGGCCUAAGGGAGGUCAUCUCUUCCAGCCUCCUGCCUUCAACCCCAGAACCCAGGUCUGAGCCCUGGGUCACCCAGGGCCACCCUGGACCCACCGGAAUUCCUCCACCACCACUGGUCAAAGUUCUGCAGAGAUCUGAGGACGAGGGUCAGCUGGGGGGUCAGGAGAGGAUGAAGAGGGUCACAGCUCUACCAAAGUCUUGUCCAGUCAUCCCCCAUCUUCCCGAGGCUUCUUCCCCGCCCCCCCACUUCAUCCCGCCACUUCACCCAUCUUGUCGGUUGCCCCUGAAGUGCCCAGAACUCAAGGCUGGUUUUGUCCUCCAAGGCCUUGGUGUAGGGCUGGCCCAGGAUCUGCAGCCAAACUUCAUACAGCACCAGCUCUGCCUUCUCCCCUAGAGCGACAGGGGUGGAGGUGGCAUCGGCCUGCAUCCCCUCUCCUGGAAGCCCUGGAGUGGGACACACACCCAAGCUCUAAUGCUCCAUCCAGGGGUCAGCUGCUGUUGGUGUAAAGGCCAAAUUUCUUGCUGCCUGCUUUUGUGUGGCCCACGCGCUAAGAAUGGCUUUUACAUGUUUAAAUGGUUGAAAACAUGGAAAGUAGAGUCGUAUCUUGUGACACAUGAGAAUUACGUGAGAUGCAAACUUCCAUGUCCAUAAAGAAAGGUUUCUGGGAAUGUGGCCACGCUUAUCUGUUGACAUGUUGCUAGGGCUGCUUUCUUGCUACAGGGGAGGGUUUGAGUAGGUGGUGACAGAGACCCAGUGGCCUGCAGAGCCUUAAAGAGUUCCCAUCCGGCCCUUUACAGAAAACGCUUGCUAACCCCUGCACUGAUCCACCUAAUGGAAUACACUGCCCACUCCGUGAGUUGAUCCUAGUAGGAAAUGUUGCUGAUAAUUUAACAGCUGCUGCUUUUAUGUUUUAUUUUGUCCCUGCUCUGGUGGGAGACAUGUAAGAAAAUUCACUCCCUGGGAGGAGGUCAUGGUGGGGCUUGUGGCCAUCAACGGUGAAGCCUCUUUAAGAGGAUGCGUGGGGAGCUCUACCAUCUGCUGAGAGGGUUGUGAGGGGCCCUCUGUGUUGAGGAAUGAAGAGGGAACGCUGCCUGUGUGCUGGGAGCUGGCUUUCUGGGGAGCAGAAGAGAUGGUGGUUCGGGCCUGCGGAGGCAGAGGCCCAAACCAAUCUGGUCUCUGGGGCUGCCGGCAGGGAGAGUAGUUGUGUAGGAGUGGGUGCAGGGGCAGAGCCUGAAGGAGGGCACCCCUGACUGCACCCCCAGGAGGCUGUGGUGGUGGGGGUGGGGCAGCACUGUAGGAGGACCAGCGCCUUCUGUGGCUGAGGGGUCCUUGGAGAGCAGCUCCAGGCAAUGCGUAGCUGGAGGGGACUGAUUUGACCCAGCGCUCUCCUAAGCCACAAUGCCCGGCCUAAUGUACUGUUUAUUUAAAAUUCUAAGGAUCUUUAAUAAUUUUAAUAAGGAUCUUUAAAUAAUUUUCCAUGGAUCAUAUUUUUAUUGCAUUUUAAAAUAAUUUACAAUUUGCUUUCACACAUAUUCUCCCUCAUCUGAUCCUCACAACUGCCCUGGGAAGGAGGUUGGAGACAGAGUUGGGGCCUGUUAGGAGACAAAUUUACACAAUGCAUAAGAAAGCUCACUGUGAGCCGGGGUGAAGAAGGGAGGCUUGGAGAAUCAUGAAUGCAGUAUCUAUGUCUAUAUUCCCAGCCCAACCACAAAGCCUGAAAUUCAUUUAGGUAUUUAAGAAAUAGCUGCUGAAUUAUUGCCUAGGGGUGCUCAGCUCAAGAAGCAGGGUUGAGACUAACAAUCAAGCUUCCUGACUCCUAGCCCAAUACUUUUCCAAACACACCACCUAUUUUUCUGUAUCGGAUAGAAAGUAUAGUGCUUAAGUUGUACAUAAUGUUAACUCACUUUCAAUACAGGCCAAUCAUGAUUGACUAUCAGUAGCUUUUGUGACAAACUUAGUAAACUAGGAAGUUGAACCUUUCAGAGUUCCCCUUCUCAUGUCAUAUGCUAUUUCUGUUUUGAAAUAAAAAUCCUUCCAAAUGAAACUUUAUCCAUCAAAAUGACAAGAGAAGUGAAAAUAGAUACAAGAAGAAAAUAAAACAUUAAUUUCAA
ensembl:lncRNA novel transcript